rnacentral:rRNA from 1 species
GACGAACGCUGGCGGCGUGCUUAACACAUGCAAGUCGAACGGAAAGGCCCUGCUUUUGUGGGGUGCUCGAGUGGCGAACGGGUGAGUAACACGUGAGUAACCUGCCCUUGACUUUGGGAUAACUUCAGGAAACUGGGGCUAAUACCGGAUAGGAGCUCCUGCUGCAUGGUGGGGGUUGGAAAGUUUCGGCGGUUGGGGAUGGACUCGCGGCUUAUCAGCUUGUUGGUGGGGUAGUGGCUUACCAAGGCUUUGACGGGUAGCCGGCCUGAGAGGGUGACCGGCCACAUUGGGACUGAGAUACGGCCCAGACUCCUACGGGAGGCAGCAGUGGGGAAUAUUGCACAAUGGGCGGAAGCCGGAUGCAGCAACGCCGCGUGCGGGAUGACGGCCUUCGGGUUGUAAACCGCCUUCGCCUGUGACGAAGCGUGAGUGACGGUAAUGGGUAAAGAAGCACCGGCUAACUACGUG